GGGGCCGUAGCUCAGCGGUUAGAGCGCGCGGCUUACAUCCGCGAUGUCGGAGGUUCGAAUCCCCCCGGCCCCA
rnacentral:tRNA from 1 species